rnacentral:rRNA from 1 species
AACGUAGGUGGCGAGCGUUAUCCGGAUUUACUGGGCGUAAAGGGUGUGCAGGCGGGCUGUUAAGUGGUGUAUGAAAUCGUCCGGCUCAACCGGGCGAGGUUAUGCCAGACUGGCAGUCUAGAGAGCGAGAGAGGGACGUGGAAUUCCGGGUGUAGUGGUGAAAUGCGUAGAGAUCCGGAGGAACCCCAGAGGCGAAGGCGGCGUCCUGGCUCGCAUCUGACGCUCAGACACGACAGCAUGGGGAGCGAACGGG